rnacentral:rRNA from 1 species
AACGAACGCUGGCGGCAUGCCUAACACAUGCAAGUCGAACGGGAUCCUGGUUUCGGCCAGGUGAGAGUGGCGGACGGGUGAGUAACGCGUGGGAACCUGCCCAGUGGUGGGGGAGUAACUGCGGGAAACUGCAGCUAAUACCGCAUGAGCCCGAAAGGGGAAAGAUUGAUCGCCAUUGGAGGGGCCCGCGUUCGAUUAGGUAGUUGGUGAGGUAACGGCUCACCAAGCCUUCGAUCGANAGCUGGUCUGAGAGGAUGAUCAGCCACACUGGGACUGAGAUACGGCCCAGACUCCUACGGGAGGCAGCAGUGGGGAAUAUUGGACAAUGGGGGCGAACCCUGAUCCAGCAAUGCCGCGUGAGUGAUGAAGGCCUU